rnacentral:rRNA from 1 species
AAUGGGCGAGAGCCUGAACCAGCCAUGCCGCGUGCAGGAAGACGGCCCUACGGGUUGUAAACUGCUUUUUUAUGGGAAGAAAAGGUUCUACGUGUAGAGCACUGACGGUACCAUAUGAAUAAGCAUCGGCUAACUCCGUGCCAGCAGCCGCGGUAAUACGGAGGAUGCGAGCGUUAUCCGGAUUUAUUAGGUUUAAAGGGUGUGUAGGCGGAAAGCUAAGUCAGUGGUGAAAUCUCUCGGCUCAACCGGGAAACUGCCAUAGAUACUGGUUUUCUUGAGUACAGUUGAAGUAGGCGGAAUGUGUAAUGUAGCGGUGAAAUGCUUAGAUAUUACACAGAACACCGAUUGCGAAGGCAGCUUGCUAAGCUGUUACUGACGCUGAUGCACGAAAGCGUGGGUAGCGAA